AGCGAACGCUGGCGGCAGGCCUAACACAUGCCAGUCGAACGAACCUUUCGGGGUUAGUGGCGGACGGUUGAGUAACCCGUGGGAACGUGCCUUUAGGUUCGGAAUAACUCAGGGAAACUUGUGCUAAUACCGAAUGUGCCCUUCGGGGGAAAGAUUUAUCGCCUUUAGAGCGGCCCGCGUCUGAUUAGCUAGUUGGUUGAGGUAAUGGCUCACCAAGGCGACGAUCAGUAGCUGGUCUGAGAGGAUGAUCAGCCACAUUGGGACUGAGACACGGCCCAAACUCCUACGGGAGGCAGCAGUGGGGAAUCUUGCGCAAUGGGCGAAAGCCUGACGCAGCCAUGCCGCGUGAAUGAUGAAGGUCUUAGGAUUGUAAAAUUCUUUCACCGGGGACGAUAAUGACGGUACCCGGAGAAGAAGCCCCGGCUAACUUCGUG
rnacentral:rRNA from 1 species